UACGAAGGGGGGCUAGCGUUGCUCGGAAUCACUGGGCGUAAAGGGCGCGUAGGCGGCCAUUCAAGUCGGGGGUGAAAGCCUGUGGCUCAACCACAGAAUUGCCCUUCGAUACUGUUUGGCUUGAGUAUGGCAGAGGUUGGUGGAACUGCGAGUGUAGAGGUGAAAUUCGUAGAUAUCGCAAGAACACCAGUGGCGAAGGCGGCCAUCUGGGACAACACUGACGCUGAGGCACGAAAGCGUGGGGAGCAAACAGG
rnacentral:rRNA from 1 species